AUUGAUUUCAGCAAUCGCUUCUUCACCCUCUUUACCAGUUUUCUUAAUAUAUUCUUCAUAGUAUGGUUUCAUUGCUUCUUUGAAUGGAGCAAGAUCUGGUUUAGUAACUGUCAUACCUUUU
rnacentral:antisense_RNA from 1 species